rnacentral:rRNA from 1 species
UAUUGGUCAAUGGACGCGAGUCUGAACCAGCAAAGUAGCGUGAAGGAUGACUGCGCUAUGGGUUGUAAACUUCUUUUAUAUGGGAAUAAAGUUUUCCACGUGUGGAAUUUUGUAUGUACCAUAUGAAUAAGGAUCGGCUAACUCCGUGCCAGAAGCAGCGGUAAUACGGAGGAUCCGAGCGUUAUCCGGAUUUAUUGGGUUUAAAGGGAGCGUAGGUGGAUUGUUAAGUCAGUUGUGAAAGUUUGCGGCUCAACCGUAAAAUUGCAGUUGAAACUGGCAGUCUUGAGUACAGUAGAGGUGGGCGGAAUUUGUGGUGUAUCGGUGAAAUGCUUAGAUAUCACGAAGAACUCCGAUUGCGAAGGCAGCUCACUAGACUGCAACUGACACUGAUGCUCGAAAGUGUGGGUAUCAAACAG